rnacentral:rRNA from 1 species
AACGAACGCUGGCGGCAGGCUUAACACAUGCAAGUCGAACGCCCCGCCAGGGGAGUGGCAGACGGGUGAGUAACGCGUGGGAACAUACCCUUUUCUACGGAAUAGCUCUGGGAAACUGGAAUUAAUACCGUAUACGCCCUACGGUGGAAAGAUUUAUCGGGGAAGGAUUGGCCCGCGUUGGAUUAGCUAGUUGGUGGGGUAAAGGCCUACCAAGGCGACGAUCCAUAGCUGGUCUGAGAGGAUGAUCAGCCACAUUGGGACUGAGACACGGCCCAAACUCCUACGGGAGGCAGCAGUGGGGAAUAUUAGACAAUGGGCGCAAGCCUGAUCCAGCCAUGCCGCGUGAGUGAUGAAGGCCUUAGGGUUGUAAAGCUCUUUCACCGAUGAAGAUAAUGACGGUAGUCGGAGAAGAAGCCCCGGCUAACUUCGUG